rnacentral:rRNA from 1 species
AAUGAACGCUGGCGGCGUGCUUAACACAUGCAAGUCGAACGAGAAAGUUCUCUUCGGAGGACGAGUAAAGUGGCGCACGGGUGAGUUAACGCGUGAAUAAUCUACCCCUGAAUUUGGGAUAACAGUUCGAAAGGGCUGCUAAUACCGGAUAACAUUGUCUUUUUUUACGGAUUAGACAAUCAAAGAGGGCCUCUCCUUGGAAGCUUUUGUUUGGGGAUGAGUUCGCGUCCCAUUAGUUAGUUGGUAAGGUAACGGCUUACCAAGACAUCGAUGGGUAGCUGGUCUGAGAGGAUGAUCAGCCACACUGGAACUGACACACGGUCCAGACUCCUACGGGAGGCAGCAGUGAGGAAUUUUGCGCAAUGGGCGAAAGCCUGACGCAGCAACGCCGCGUGAGUGAUGAAGGCUCUUGGGUCGUAAAGCUCUGUCAAGUGGGAAGAAACCUCUUGGAGUUAAUACCUUCAAGAAUUGACGGUACCACUGAAGGAAGCACCGGCUAACUCCGUG